GAAAACUGAAUAAUCAUCUUCUUGGUCGAUGAAGAAAUUACGGAGCUUCAGAUGAAACGACGCCGUUCUCUCCGUAUCUUCGCCGGUGAAAGUGAUAGAAGAAGAAGAGUGGGUUUCACAAAUAUAUUCAAAGGUCUAAUCAUCACAGGUACUGACCUUUAUAGUUUAUUGUUACAUAGGCCUUCUUUUGUUGUUUUCUCAUCCAAAGGGAAACAUUUGUAGAGACCCAACUUUGUGUUGUUUUUAGAUCGAAAGAGAAUAAAUUGAUACAUUUAAAAUUUACAAAAUGUUUGCAUCUUAUUUUCUCUAUGGAUGUUCAAUAAAGUUGGGAGGAGAAAGGAGAAAAGAGAAGUGUAAUAAUGAAUGAGUGACGACGUGUUUGUAUUAAAUUCCAUAAAUGGGAAGACAACUUGCCCUUAGUGUCCACAUUUACCCCGGGGGUUCCCACAUAGACAUACCCACUUGCUCUUAAUAGAAACUUUAUGAUUAUUUUGUCAAUACCCUUUGCCCUAAUCCCAAUGUAAACCAAAUCCACCCACCCAUAUCUUAUAAUACUUCACAUGUUUUUGUUUAGGAGAGAAGGGUUGAAGUAUUAGUCAAUUUUCAAGUUUUAUGGAUACAAACACUAAGUAAUGUUUUUGUCAACUUUUUUUUUUUAUUUUAGGUUAUUUUCCUUUAUUCUAACUAAAUAUUUUUAUCAACCCACACGAAUCAAAAAACAUAAAGCAUACUAAAAGAAAUAAAAUCCUUUUCAUCUCAUAUCAAAAUACGAUGUCACAAAACCUUUGUUUAAUAGGUAUUAGAGUUGAACAUUUGUAAGUACCUCAUGUUGUAAACAAGUGUGAAGUGUUUUUCUAGAUAUUAGAAAUUUUAUGCAAUAAAGCAAAGAUGAAAGUUUAAUAUAUUUGAGUAAAUCGUUUUUAGUUGGGGAUAAAUGAAGCAGAGAAAUGGAUGGAAGACGGAACUAACCCGGCGGAGUACAGUGAAAGGCAUGAGGCCGAUCAGGACAAUAACACUUGAAAAAAUGAGUCGACUCAUCAAAUCCACAGUACCCACCACUUUUGUUACAAAAUUUACACUCUCCGGCCGUCC
rnacentral:lncRNA from 1 species